UGCAUUGCCUUCCACCCUGUAGGCGAUCAAUCAGUAUUAUUGAUUGAUGUAAGAAUUAUCAGAGGGUCUAUGGAACCAGUACACCAUUAUUUACUAUCUAGGGAUAUUCUGAUCCGCUUUACAUUAUCCUUAGGAAUUAAUUGUUAAUGUGGAUCUUUGGGAGGGAAGCACUGAAUUAGGACAUUCUUUUCAGAGGGGAAGAAAUACUGAGUUGUGCUUCAGAAAUGGCUGUCCCUAAACAACUUGCAAGUGAAUUUAUUUUACAGGAAAAAUCCCAAAGCUUUGUUAAAUGACUUUUUGACCAUUUCUUCUACACCUGUCAGCCAAGUAGAAUGAUUUCCAGCUCAACACCUGGGUUAAAGAAAUUGGAAACACCUGAGAGCCUGUUAGAAGCAACUUGUAUAAAGGCCUGAUCCACGCAAGGAAGCUGGUUUCCAUGUUCUUUCAUCAGUCACCCUCUCUUCUGUGAAUGAAGUCACUGGUUCACUGACGGGUGUCUUUCCUUCUUCACUUGCUCCAGGCUCUUGCUGUGACAACCCCCACCCCUCAGCAGCAUAGAAUCCUGCCAAGCGUCCAGGAGGAGCAGACUAAAUGCGCCUUUAGUUUGAUGAGCCCCGACAGCAGGAAAGAGUGAGAAUCUGAGAAAUGGCAGAAGCCAUGUUAUUGUAGGUAAAAAAAAAAAAAUGUCUUGGGUGACCUUUGUUGUACGUUACAUAUUUAACAGCUCUGAAUCUUCUUUGUUCUUCUUGGCAAAUUAAAAUUGCACACCACAGCAUAUGCAAG